rnacentral:rRNA from 1 species
CACGCCUAACACAUGCAAGUCGAGCGGUAACAUGAUCUGUAGCAAUACAGAUUGAUGACGAGCGGCGGACGGGUGAGGAACACGUAGGAAUCUACCUUAGAGAGGGGGACAACCAAGGGAAACUUUGGCUAAUACCGCAUAAUCUCGAGAGAGAAAAGCUGCCCGCAAGGGUGGCGCGUUAAGAGGAGCCUGCGUCCGAGUAGCUAGUUGGUGAGGUAAAGGCUCACCAAGGCGAUGAUCGGUAACUGGUCUGAGAGGACGACCAGUCACACCGGAACUGAGACACGGUCCGGACUCCUACGGGAGGCAGCAGUGGGGAAUAUUGGACAAUGGGCGCAAGCCUGAUCCAGCAAUGCCGCGUGUGUGAAGAAGGCCUUCGGGUUGUAAAGCACUUUAGCCUGGAAAGAAAAAACUUUGGUUAACACCCAAAGUCUUGACGGUACCAGGAGAAUAAGCACCGGCUAACUCUGUGCCAGCCGCCGCGGUAAGAC